rnacentral:lncRNA from 1 species
CACCUCAAACCUUUAACAUUUCACAUUCUUUACCCAACCCCAAAAGGGCUAGCAGAUUCCACUCACUCUUCAGCUAAAUGCCAUCUGUCCUACCCUCUCCUGCUUAACUUGGUUCACCACAGCCAUGAUUACCUUACACUUCCAUGUUUCUCUUCCCCCAACUAGAUGGUCAGCUCCAACCUUAGCUUGUCUAGUUUGUCAUUAGAUCUGGGGCAGUUGCAGGGUCAAGACUGGCUCACUCCGUUUUUCCUGGGUGAGUGGAUGCGUGUUCUAUCUUAAGCCCGUGCGCUGAGCUACCUCUCCCCCUUCUCCAGCUCCAAUCCCCAGUGUCAGAGUGUUUGAGCGUAAGGGCCUACAGCUGGAUCUUUCCUUCAUGCGGCCCUCGGAAACCCCUGCUUUGCUCUUAGUCACUGCCACCACCACCAACUCCUCAGAGGAGGCUGUUACCCACUUCGUUUGCCAGGCGGCUGUGCCCAAGAGUUUCCAGCUGCAGUUACAGGCCCCCAGUGGGAACACAAUUCCAGCUCAGGGUGGUCCUCCCAUCACCCAGGUCUUCAGAAUCCUCAAUCCUAACAAGGCCCCUUUGCGACUAAAGCUUCGCCUCACCUACAACCACUCUGGCCAGCCAGUGCAGGAGAUCUUCGAGGUGGACAACUUGCCUGUGGAGACGUGGCAGUAACUUACUGUGGUCAGUGUCUGGCCUGGGUUUCUCCAGGCUCUUGGUGUCUCGUUCAAGAAAUAGAAAUAAAGGCACACGUAAAUUGCGAAGUAGCAA